UACAGAGGUCUCAAGCGUUUGUUCGGAUUCAUUGGGCGUAAAGGGUGCGUAGGCGGCGCGGUAAGUCGGGUGUGAAAUCUCGGGGCUUAACUCCGAAACUGCAUUCGAUACUGCCGUGCUUGAGGACUGGAGAGGAGACUGGAAUUUACGGUGUAGCGGUGAAAUGCGUAGAUAUCGUAAGGAAGACCAGUGGCGAAGGCGGGUCUCUGGACAGUUCCUGACGCUGAGGCACGAAGGCCCAGGGGAGCAAACGGG
rnacentral:rRNA from 1 species